rnacentral:rRNA from 1 species
CCCGCUACAGAAACUUAAAGGGAAGUUCGACGGGGCCCGCACAAGCGGUGGAGUAUGUGGUUUAAUUCGAUGCAACGCGAAGAACCUUACCUGGUCUUGACAUCCCGGAGACCCUUAGGAAACUAGGGGGUGCUUCCAUCUGGAAGAAUCUGGAGACAGGUGCUGCAUGGCUGUCGUCAGCUCGUGUCGUGAGAUGUUGGGUUAAGUCCCGCAACGAGCGCAACCCUUGCCUUUAGUUGCCAGCAGUUCGGCUGGGCACUCUAAAGGGACUGCCGGUGUUAAACCGGAGGAAGGUGGGGAUGACGUCAAGUCCUCAUGGCCUUUAUGACCAGGGCUACACACGUACUACAAUGGCCGAUACAAAGGGCAGCGACACUGCGAGGUGAAGCCAAUCCCGUAAAAUCGGUCUCAGUCCGGAUUGGAGUCUGCAACUCGACUGCAUGAAGUUGGAAUCGCUAGUAAUCGUGGAUCAGCCAAGCCGCGGUGAAUACGUUCCCGGGCCUU